rnacentral:rRNA from 1 species
UAAGCGGAGGAAAAGAAACUAACAAGGAUUCCCCUAGUAGCGGCGAGCGAAGCGGGAAGAGCUCAAAUUUAUAAUCUGGCACCUUCGGUGUCCGAGUUGUAAUCUCUAGAAGUGUUUUCCGCGUUGGACCGCGCAUAAGUCUGUUGGAAUACAGCGGCACAGUGGUGAGACCCCCGUAUGUGGUGCGGACGCCCAGCGCUUUGUGAUACACUUUCGAAGAGUCGAGUUGUUUGGGAAUGCAGCUCAAAUUGGGUGGUAAAUUCCAUCUAAAGCUAAAUAUUGGCGAGAGACCGAUAGCGAACAAGUACCGUGAGGGAAAGAUGAAAAGCACUUUGGAAAGAGAGUUAACAGUACGUGAAAUUGUUGGAAGGGAAACGCUUGAAGUCAGACUUGCUUGCCGGGCAACCGGUUUGCAGGCCAGCAUCAGUUUUCCGGGGUGGAUAAUGGUAGAGAGAAGGUAGCAGUUUCGGCUGUGUUAUAGCUCUCUACUGGAUACACCUUGGGGGACUGAGGAACGCAGUGUGCCUUACGGCGGAGGUUUCGACCUCUUCACACUUAGGAUGCUGGUGGAAUGGCUUUAAACGACCCGUCU